rnacentral:pre_miRNA from 1 species
GUACUACUCCCUCCGUCCCAAAAUUCUUAUCUUAGAUUUGUCUAAAUACGAAUGUAUCAAGUCACGUUUUAGUAUUAGGUACAUCCGUAUCUAGACAAAUCUAAGACAAGAAUUUUGGGACGGAGGGAGUAGUAU